UACGUAGGUGACCAGCGUUGUCCGGAUUUACUGGGCGUAAAGCGCGUGUAGGCGGCCAGGUAGGUCGGUUGUGAAAAUUGGAGGCUCAACCUCCAGACGUCGAUCGAAACCAUCUGGCUAGAGUCCGGAAGAGGAGAAUGGAAUUCCUGGUGUAGCGGUGAAAUGCGCAGAUAUCAGGAAGAACACCUAUGGCGAAGGCAGCUCUCUGGGACGGUACUGACGCUGAGACGCGAAAGCGUGGGGAGCGAACAGG
rnacentral:rRNA from 1 species